rnacentral:rRNA from 1 species
UUCUGACCGUAAACGAUGCCAACUAGCGAUCCGCCGGCGGCUGCAAGGCCCUGGUGGGGAGCUUCCCGGAAACGAAAGUCUUCCGGUUCCGGGGGAAGUAUGGUUGCAAAGCUGAAACUUAAAGGAAUUGACGGAAGGGCACCACCAGGAGUGGAGCCUGCGGCUUAAUUUGACUCAACACGGGAAAACUCACCCGGCCCGGACACCGUAAGGAUUGACAGAUUGAUAGCUUUUUCAUGAUUCGGUGGUUGGUGGUGCAUGGCCGUUCUUAGUUCGUGGAUCGAUUUGUCUGGUUUAUUCCGAUAACGAGCGAGACUCCAGCCUACUAACUAGUGCGGGCGUUGUCUCUGCGCCCUUCGCACUUCUUAGAGGGAUUGGCUGCGUCUAGCGGCACGAAACGGAGCAAUAACAGGUCUGUGAUGCCCUUAGAUGUCCGGGGCUGCACGCGCGCUACACUGGCAAAGGCAGCGUGCUUGUCCUGCGCCGAAAGGUGCGGGUAAACCCUUGAAAAUUUGCCGUGAUUGGGAUCGGAAAUUGCAAUUAUUUUCCGUGAACGAGGAAUUCCUAGUAAGUGCGAGUCAUCAGCUCGCGUUG